rnacentral:rRNA from 1 species
UACGAAGGGGGCUAGCGUUGUUCGGAAUCACUGGGCGUAAAGCGCACGUAGGCGGACUCUUAAGUCGGUGGUGAAAUCCUGGAGCUCAACUCCAGAACUGCCUUCGAUACUGGGAGUCUCGAGUCCGGGAGAGGUGAGUGGAACUGCGAGUGUAGAGGUGAAAUUCGUAGAUAUUCGCAAGAACACCAGUGGCGAAGGCGGCUCACUGGCCCGGUACUGACGCUGAGGUGCGAAAGCGUGGGGAGCGAACAGG